rnacentral:piRNA from 1 species
UAGCUGUAGAGAAGAUUAACAAGGUUGCCU